ACAGCAGUAGCCGCGGGAAUACGUAGGUGGCAAGCGUUGUCCGGAAUUAUUGGGCGUAAAGAGCUCGUAGGCGGCUGGUCGCGUCUGUCGUGAAAUCCUCUGGCUUAACUGGGGGCUUGCGGUGGGUACGGGCCGGCUUGAGUGCGGUAGGGGAGACUGGAACUCCUGGUGUAGCGGUGGAAUGCGCAGAUAUCAGGAAGAACACCGGUGGCGAAGGCGGGUCUCUGGGCCGUUACUGACGCUGAGGAGCGAAAGCGUGGGGAGCGAACGGGAUUAGAGACCCCCGUAGUCCCUGUCUCUUAUAC
rnacentral:rRNA from 1 species